CUAAUACAUGCAAGUCGAGCGGACCGACGGGAGCUUGCUCCCUUAGGUCAGCGGCGGACGGGUGAGUAACACGUGGGUAACCUGCCUGUAAGACUGGGAUAACUCCGGGAAACCGGGGCUAAUACCGGAUGCUUGAUUGAACCGCAUGGUUCAAUCAUAAAAGGUGGCUUUUAGCUACCACUUGCAGAUGGACCCGCGGCGCAUUAGCUAGUUGGUGAGGUCACGGCUCACCAAGGCGACGAUGCGUAGCCGACCUGAGAGGGUGAUCGGCCACACUGGGACUGAGACACGGCCCAGACUCCUACGGGAGGCAGCAGUAGGGAAUCUUCCGCAAUGGACGAAAGUCUGACGGAGCAACGCCGCGUGAGUGAUGAAGGUUUUCGGAUCGUAAAACUCUGUUGUUAGGGAAGAACAAGUACCGUUCGAAUAGGGCGGUACCUUGACGGUACCUAACCAGAAAGCCACGGCUAACUACGUGCCAGCAGCCGCGGUAAUACGUAGGUGGCAAGCGUUGUCCGGAAUUAUUGGGCGUAAAGCGCGCGCAGGCGGUUUCUUAAGUCUGAUGUGAAAGCCCCCGGCUCAACCGGGGAGGGUCAUUGGAAACUGGGGAACUUGAGUGCAGAAGAGGAGAGUGGAAUUCCACGUGUAGCGGUGAAAUGCGUAGAGAUGUGGAGGAACACCAGUGGCGAAGGCGACUCU
rnacentral:rRNA from 1 species